rnacentral:rRNA from 1 species
UACUAUGUUACGACUUAUCUUACCUUAAUAGUAAGAGUGACGGGCGAUGUGUGCAUAUUUUAGAGCUAAAAUCAAAACUACAAUCUUUUAAUUUUUACUAUCAAAUCCACCUUCAUUAAAAUAUUUAAAAAUUAAAUUCGUUUAAAUAAAUUUAUUGUAACCCAUCUCUACUUAAAUAUAAGCUACACCUUGAUCUGAUAUAAAUUUUAAUUUAAAUUAUUGAAAAUUAUUAUUCUAAUAAAAUAUUCUGAUAACGACGGUAUAUAAACUGAAAAACAAAUUCAAGUGAGGUACAUCGUGGAUUAUCAAUUAUAGGACAGGUUCCUCUGAAUAGACUAAAAUACCGCCAAAUUUUUUAAGUUUCAAGAACAUAACUAAUACUACCUAAGUGUUCAUUAUUACAUUUUAAAUAAUAGGGUAUCUAAUCCUAGUUUA